rnacentral:rRNA from 1 species
ACUGAACGCUGGCGGCAGGCCUAACACAUGCAAGUCGAACGAGUGGCGGACGGGUGAGUAAUGUCUGGGAAACUGCCUGAUGGAGGGGGAUAACUACUGGAAACGGUAGCUAAUACCGCAUACCAUCGGAUGUGCCCAGAUGGGAUUAGCUAGUAGGUGGGGUAACGGCUCACCUAGGCGACGAUCCCUAGCUGGUCUGAGAGGAUGACCAGCCACACUGGAACUGAUACACGGUCCAGGCUCCUACGGGAGGGAGCAGUGGGUAGUAUUGCACAAUGGGCGCAAGCCUGAUGCAGCGAUGCCGCGUGUAUGAGGAAGGGCUUUGGGGUGGGAAGUACUUUCAGCGGGGAGGCGUUACCCGCAGAAGAAGCACCGGCUAACUCCGUGCCAGCAGCCGCGGUAAUUC